rnacentral:rRNA from 1 species
AUACGUAGGUGACAAGCGUUAUCCGGAUUUACUGGGCGUAAAGGGCGUGUAGGCGGUCUUGCAAGUCAGAAGUGAAAUUCCUGAGCUCAACUCGGGCGCUGCUUCUGAAACUGCAGGACUUGAGUGCUGGAGGGGAUAGCGGAAUUCCUAGUGGAGCGGUAAAAUGCGCAGAUAUUAGGAAGAACACCGGUGGCGAAGGCGGCUAUCUGGACAGUAACUGACGCUGAGGCGCGAAAGCGUGGGGAGCAAACAGGAUUAGAUACCCUGGUAGUCCACGCUGUAAACGAUGGAUACUAAGUGUUGGAAAAAUCCAGUGCUGAAGUUAACGCAUUAAGUAUUCCGCCUGAGUAGUACGUACGCAAGUAUGAAACUCAAAGGAAUUGACGGGG